GAGCAGUGAUGAAAAUAUCUUGAGCUGUGGUGAUGAAUCUUCGGAUAUGAUAUUAACCUCGCUAUAAUCUGAGCUC